rnacentral:rRNA from 1 species
GACGAACGCUGGCGGCGUGCUUAACACAUGCAAGUCGAACGAAGUGGCGAACGGGUGAGUAACGCGUAAUCAACCUGCCCUUCAGAGGGGGACAACAGUUGGAAACGACUGCUAAUCCCGCAUACUGAAGGAGGGGUUUGCGUCUGAUUAGCUAGUUGGGGGGGUAACGGCCCACCACGGCGAUGAUCAGUAGCCGGUCUGAGAGGACGAACGGCCACAUUGGGACUGAGACACGGCCCAAACUCCGACGGGAGGCAGCAGUAGGGAAUCUGCCGCAAUGGGCGCAAGCCUGACAGAGCAACGCCGCGUGUGUGAAGAAGGUUUUCGGAUCGUAAAGCUCUGUUGUAAGAGAAGCGGUAUCUUACCAGAAAGCCACGGCUAACUACGUGCCAGCAGCCGCGGUAAUAC